rnacentral:rRNA from 1 species
UACGGAGGGUGCAAGCGUUAUCCGGAUUUACUGGGUUUAAAGGGUGCGUAGGUGGGUAGGUAAGUCAGUGGUGAAAUCUUCGAGCUUAACUCGGAAACUGCCAUUGAUACUAUUUAUCUUGAAUACUUUGGAGGUAAGCGGAAUAUGUCAUGUAGCGGUGAAAUGCUUAGAUAUGGCAUAGAACACCAAUUGCGAAGGCAGCUUACUACACAGUCAUUGACACUGAGGCACGAAAGCGUGGGGAUCAAACAGG